rnacentral:rRNA from 1 species
AUUGAACGCUGGCGGAAUGCUUUACACAUGCAAGUCGAACGGCAGCACGGACUUCGGUCUGGUGGCGAGUGGCGAACGGGUGAGUAAUGUAUCGGAACGUGCCCAGUCGUGGGGGAUAACGUAGUGAAAAUUACGCUAAUACCGCAUACGAUCUAUGGAUGAAAGCGGGGGAUCGCAAGACCUCGCGCGAUUGGAGCGGCCGAUAUCAGAUUAGGUAGGUGGUGGGGUAAAGGCCCACCAAGCCAACGAUCUGUAGCUGGUCUGAGAGGACUGCCCACCACACUGGAACUGAGAAACGGUCCAGACUCCUACGGGAGGCAGCAGGGGGGAAUUUUGGACAAUGGGCGAAAGCCUGAUCCAGCCAUUCCGCGUGCAGGAUGAAGGCCCUCGGGUUGUAAACUGCUUUUGUACAGAACGAAAAGGUUUCUACUAAUACUAGGAGCUCAUGACGGUACUGUAAGAAUAAGCACCGGCUAACUACGUGCCAGCAGCCGCGGUAA